AUUGAACGCUGGCGGUAUGCUUAACACAUGCAAGUCGAACGAUGAGAAAGAGCUUGCUCUUUCGAUUAGUGGCGGACGGGUGCGUAACGCGUAGGAAUCUAUCUAUUAGUGGGGGACAACUUAGGGAAACUUAAGCUAAUACCGCAUACGCCCUACGGGGGAAAGAAGGGGAUCGCAAGACCUUUUGCUAAUAGAUGAGCCUGCGUAGGAUUAGCUAGUUGGUGGGGUAAAAGCUCACCAAGGCGACGAUCCUUAACUGGUUUGAGAGAAUGAUCAGUGACACUGGAACUGAGACACGGGCCAGACUCCUACGGGAGGCAGCAGUGGGGAAUAUUGGACAAUGGGCGAAAGCCUGAUCCAGCAAUACCGCGUGUGUGAAGAAGGCCUUAGGGUUGUAAAGCACUUUCAAUUGGAAGGAAAACCUCGAAGCUAAUACCUUCGAGUUUGACAUUACCUUUAGAAGAAGCACCGGCUAACUCCGUGCCAGCAGCCGCCGUAA
rnacentral:rRNA from 1 species